UGUGAUUUUUUUUUGUGUGUAAAUAGUUAGAUUUUUGUGUGUUUCUUUGUUUCAGUGUUAUAGAGUUGUGCGUCUCUACAGUCAGAGGUUUUUGUACGACGGCUCACUGAGUUUGUAUCACUGCGGUGCAUGUUCGGUGGAGGAACCAGGCUGGAUAUCAGACGUGACACAACCCCUCCCACCCUGACAGUGCUGCCCCCCUCUGGUGAGGAGCUGCAGCAGGGGACGGCCUCUCUCAUGUGUCUGGCCAACAAGGGCUUCCCCUCAGACUGGACUCUGGCCUGGAAGGUGGACGGCAGCAGCAACAUCAGAUGGGAGGAGACCAGGAGCCCCGCGGUGCUGGAGGAGGGCGCCCUCUACAGCUGGAGCAGCACCCUGAGGCUCCCUGCAGACCAGUGGAUGAAGGUCAACUCUGUGACCUGUGAGGCCUCUCAGAGCUCCCACAUUCCAUCGUCACAGACACUGACAAGAGACCAGUGCUCCCAGUCCUGACCAGACACCCUGCUGGAUUCAACCUGUUACUGCACUCAGUCUGAACACAGCAGGAUUCUUUUCUUUCAUAUUUCCAAAGUCAUUACAUUUAAGAGUUUGGUUUUUAUUGCUUGAAUUCAUGCUGAUUUUCCUCAUUUGUUCAAAGAAUAAAAAA